GGCUUCGUAGCACAGUUGGCAGAGCAUUGGACUAGUAUCCCAAAGGUCGUGGGUUCAAUUCCCAUAGUGGUCA
rnacentral:tRNA from 1 species